rnacentral:rRNA from 1 species
AGCGUAGACGGAAUGGCAAGUCUGAUGUGAAAGGCCGGGGCUCAACCCCGGGACUGCAUUGGAAACUGUCAAUCUAGAGUACCGGAGGGGUAAGUGGAAUUCCUAGUGUAGCGGUGAAAUGCGUAGAUAUUAGGAGGAACACCAGUGGCGAAGGCGGCUUACUGGACGGUAACUGACGUUGAGGCUCGAAAGCGUGGGGAGCAAACAAG